rnacentral:rRNA from 1 species
AGACCCGAAACCCGGUGAUCUAGCCAUGGGCAGGUUGAAGGUUGGGUAACACUAACUGGAGGACCGAACCGACUAAUGUUGAAAAAUUAGCGGAUGACCUGUGGCUGGGGGUGAAAGGCCAAUCAAACCGGGAGAUAGCUGGUUCUCCCCGAAAGCUAUUUAGGUAGCGCCUCGUGAAUUCAUCUCCGGGGGUAGAGCACUGUUUCGGCUAGGGGGCCAUCCCGGCUUACCAACCCGAUGCAAACUGCGAAUACCGGAGAAUGUUAUCACGGGAGACACACGGCGGGUGCUAACGUCCGUCGUGAAGAGGGAAACAACCCAGACCGCCAGCUAAGGUCCCAAAGUCAUGGUUAAGUGGGAAACGAUGUGGGAAGGCCCAGACAGCCAGGAUGUUGGCUUAGAAGCAGCCAUCAUUUAAAGAAAGCGUAAUAGCUCACUGGUCGAGUCGGCCUGCGCGGAAGAUGUAACGGGGCUAAACCAUGCACCGAAGCUGCGGCAGCGACGCUGAUGCGUUGUUGGGUAGGGGAGCGUUCUGUAAGCCUGUGAAGGUGGCCUGUGAGGGUUGCUGGAGGUAUCAGAAGUGCGAAUGCUGACAUAAGUAACGAUAAAGCGGGUGAAAAGCCCGCUCGCCGGAAGACCAAGGGUUCCUGUCCAACGUUAAUCGGGGCAGGGUGAGUCGACCCCUAAGGCGAGGCCGAAAGGCGUAGUCGAUGGGAAACGGGUUAAUAUUCCCGUACUUGGUGUUACUGCGAAGGGGGGACGGAGAAGGCUAUGUUGGCCGGGCGACGGUUGUCCCGGUUUAAGCGUGUAGGCUGGUUUUCCAGGCAAAUCCGGAAAAUCAAGGCUGAGGCGUGAUGACGAGGCACUACGGUGCUGAAGCAACAAAUGCCCUGCUUCCAGGAAAAGCCUCUAAGCAUCAGGUAACAUCAAAUCGUACCCCAAACCGACACAGGUGGUCAGGUAGAGAAUACCAAGGCGCUUGAGAGAACUCGGGUGAAGGAACUAGGCAAAAUGGUGCCGUAACUUCGGGAGAAGGCACGCUGACAUGUAGGUGAAGUGAUUUACUCAUGGAGCUGAAGUCAGUCGAAGAUACCAGCUGGCUGCAACUGUUUAUUAAAAACACAGCACUGUGCAAACACGAAAGUGGACGUAUACGGUGUGACGCCUGCCCGGUGCCGGAAGGUUAAUUGAUGGGGUCAGCGCAAGCGAAGCUCCUGAUCGAAGCCCCGGUAAACGGCGGCCGUAACUAUAACGGUCCUAAGGUAGCGAAAUUCCUUGUCGGGUAAGUUCCGACCUGCACGAAUGGCGUAAUGAUGGCCAGGCUGUCUCCACCCGAGACUCAGUGAAAUUGAACUCGCUGUGAAGAUGCAGUGUACCCGCGGCAAGACGGAAAGACCCCGUGAACCUUUACUAUAGCUUGACACUGAACAUUGAGCCUUGAUGUGUAGGAUAGGUGGGAGGCUUUGAAGUGUGGACGCCAGUCUGCAUGGAGCCGGCCUUGAAAUACCACCCUUUAAUGUUUGAUGUUCUAACGUGGACCCGUGAUCCGGGUUGCGGACAGUGUCUGGUGGGUAGUUUGACUGGGGCGGUCUCCUCCUAAAGAGUAACGGAGGAGCACGAAGGUUGGCUAAUCCUGGUCGGACAUCAGGAGGUUAGUGCAAUGGCAUAAGCCAGCUUGACUGCGAGCGUGACGGCGCGAGCAGGUGCGAAAGCAGGUCAUAGUGAUCCGGUGGUUCUGAAUGGAAGGGCCAUCGCUCAACGGAUAAAAGGUACUCCGGGGAUAACAGGCUGAUACCGCCCAAGAGUUCAUAUCGACGGCGGUGUUUGGCACCUCGAUGUCGGCUCAUCACAUCCUGGGGCUGAAGUAGGUCCCAAGGGUAUGGCUGUUCGCCAUUUAAAGUGGUACGCGAGCUGGGUUUAGAACGUCGUGAGACAGUUCGGUCCCUAUCUGCCGUGGGCGCUGGAGAACUGAGGGGGGCUGCUCCUAGUACGAGAGGACCGGAGUGGACGCAUCACUGGUGUUCGGGUUGUCAUGCCAAUGGCACUGCCCGGUAGCUAAAUGCGGAAGAGAUAAGUGCUGAAAGCAUCUAAGCACGAAACUUGCCCCGAGAUGAGUUCUCCCUGAGACUUAAAGUCUCCUGAAGGAACGUUGAAGACGACGACGUUGAUAGGCCGGGUGUGUAAGCGCAGCGAUGCGUUGAGCUAACCGGUACUAAUGAACCGUGAGGCUUAACCUUACA